CAGCAGCCGCGGGAAAACGAGGGGUGCAAGCGUUAUUCGGAUUGAUUGGGUGUAAAGGGUGUGCAGACGGCUUAUUAAGUCACUUGUUAAAUUCUUCGGCCUAACUGAAGGUCUGCAAGUGAUACUGAUGAGCUAGAGGGUGGAAGAGAGAAGUGGAAUUCUCGGAGUAGCGGUAAAAUGCGUAGAUCUCGAGAGGAACACCAAUGGCGAAGGCAGCUUCUUGGUCCAUUCCUGACGUUCAUACACGAAAGCGUGGGGAGCAAACAGGAUUAGAUACCCGCGUAGUCCCUGUCUCUUAUAC
rnacentral:rRNA from 1 species